AUUCUGUGACCGUGUGGCAUAGAAUUUUUGGCACAGUUCACAGAGGUCCUACUUGUUAACAGCCUCUUGUUGCCCACCACUUCCAGAGAGCAAACCAUGGGAGUUUUUCAGUCCGAAGUGAGCAGCCUUGAAAUCUGUGGCCGGCUGUCUUUGAGGGCAGUUGCUGGGAAAGAAGCUAGCUGCUGUCUAGACCCCGGGGCCCACGGCGGGCUGGGGAUCAUGUGCAAUCGGUCCAGCAAUGGUCGGUUCGAGGCCCUCUCUUGGGCAUCCCUGUGGCUAUAUCCAACUUCAAGAGAUAACUGAUGACAUAUGAAUAAAACAUACAGAAAGUGGCCUAUUCUGUAACCAGCUCUCAGGAGGCCUCCUUGUCACUACUGGUACCAGGAUCCUAGAUGGGCGGGGCACCUGCGCGGAUGGGCACGGGCCGCUGCCUCCCUGCGUGUAGCGGUCACAUGUGCCUGUGUACCCAGAAGUUAUGAACAGCAUCAAAAUGCUCCUGUGGUUUGGUCCAAGAUACCGCACCUACUAUGCUGGAGCAAAGGAAUGGAAAGAAAGAGACACUUAUUAAGUGCAGUGUCUCAUUCGGUGUGACUGAAAUGCAAAUCGGCUCUUGUGCCAUGGAGACAUGGGCCUAAUGGCCUGGUUUUUUAACUGGCAUUUCUUAUAUGAAUCUCAUUAAUUUGCCUGAGACUGAAGUGUACAGAACACUGUUAUUUACAUAACCUCAUUUUUAUUCAGGGAAAUGGAUUCAGAGAAGUUAAGUGGCUGGUUUGAAGUCACACUUCUUAAGUGGUC
rnacentral:lncRNA from 1 species